rnacentral:lncRNA from 1 species
CCAACACUGAUGCUGUGGGUGGAGGCACACGCCUAUAAUCCCCAAACUCGGGAGGCUGAAGCAAGAUUGCUGCAAGUUCAAGGCCAACCUGAACUAUACAGUGAGUGUAAAAAACAAAACAGAAAGUGAAUUCCAAUACUGGGGAAAGAGAUGAAACAAGGUAGGCUGGGGCUGUACAGUAUACCCUUGGAGGGAUCUCAAUCCCAUCCCCAGGGCACUGGGGAGCCAUGGGAGGAUUCUUGUUCAGGAACAUGUGAUCAUCAAAUGGCUGUGCUGUGCCCAGACCAGAGGCCAGAGAGGAGGAGCACAGAGCCAGCAGUGCCAUCUCCAGCACGAUCAGCAGCAGGAGGGCGAGGCCAUCCCUGUCCAUGGGGGAGAGAAUGGAGACACACAGGAGAAGCUAGCACUUCCUGUCCAGCUGGCCCUGAACUCGCUAUGCAGCCCACGCUGGCCUCAAACUCGUGGGCAUCCUCCUGCCUCAGCCUCCCCGGUGCAGGGAGUACAGCAGCGCCCCUCUUCCUUGGAGGUUCGGGUGCCCAGGCAGGGCCCGAGGAGACAGCUGAGCGACCCUUUGGGAGAGGCGCUCGCCCCUGAGGACCACGUGACCCUGUCUACUCCUCAAACAUGCAGCCGUCUGCUUUUCAGUUUGGAUGAAGCGGAGUUGUAGGGUUCACGGUGACAACCCCAGUUGACCCUCUAAGGCCAGAGAGCAAGGAUGGGGUUAGGGGACCCCAGAAGAGGGCGGGCACUGGAGCCGGAAGCUGCUUUUGAGACAAGGUCUCGCUAUGUAGCCCAGGUUAACCUUGAAUUCACUGGGCAGCCCAGGCUCACCUGGAAUGGUGAUCCACCUGCCUCAGCCUCCCGAGUGCUGGGAUCACAGGCGCGCACCACCACACCUGGCCUCUUUCAGUCUUCAAGCACUGCACAGACCCGACCCUGAGCAAAGUCGGCAGGUGGCCCCGCUCGCCCGAAGAAGUUCGGGAUAAUCUCUGCUAGGCAAAAGGGAUGAGAAACGGAGUUUCCGGCCCAGCCCUGGGACUCUGGCGGAAGACUCGGAGUCUCCAAGCUCGCCCCCUCCGGCUAUCCCACCCGGCACCGAGACCACUCCACCCAGAG